GAUGAAGAACGCAGCGAAAUGCGAUACUUGGUGUGAAUUGCAGAAUCCCGUGAACCACCGAGUCUUUGAACGCAAGUUGCGCCUCAAGCCAUUAGGUUGAGGGCACGUCUGCCUGGGCGUCACAUAUCGUUGCCUGAUGCCAGUUUCCUCGUGAUGGGUGACUGUGCAGGGCGAAUGAUGGCUUCCCGUGAGCAUUGUUGCCUCAUGGUUGGUUGAAAAUUGAGUCCUUGGUAGGGAGCGCCGUGAUAGAUGGUGGUUGAGUGACGAACGAGACCCAAUCAUGUGAGACCCCUACCGAAUUUGGCCUUCAUGACCCACAUGCGUCUUUGGAACGCUCAUGACGAGACCUCAGGUCAGGCGGGGCUACCCGCUGAGUUUAAGCAUAUCAAUAAGCGGAGGA
rnacentral:misc_RNA from 1 species